UGAAGAGUUUGAUCAUGGCUCAGAUUGAACGCUGGCGGCAGGCCUAACACAUGCAAGUCGAACGGUAACAGGAAGCAGCUUGCUGCUUCGCUGACGAGUGGCGGACGGGUGAGUAAUGUCUGGGAAACUGCCUGAUGGAGGGGGAUAACUACUGGAAACGGUGGCUAAUACCGCAUAACGUCGCAAGACCAAAGAGGGGGACCUUCGGGCCUCUUGCCAUCAGAUGUGCCCAGAUGGGAUUAGCUUGUUGGUGAGGUAACGGCUCACCAAGGCGACGAUCCCUAGCUGGUCUGAGAGGAUGACCAGCCACACUGGAACUGAGACACGGUCCAGACUCCUACGGGAGGCAGCAGUGGGGAAUAUUGCACAAUGGGCGCAAGCCUGAUGCAGCCAUGCCGCGUGUAUGAAGAAGGCCUUCGGGUUGUAAAGUACUUUCAGCGGGGAGGAAGGUGUUGUGGUUAAUAACCGCAGCAAUUGACGUUACCCGCAGAAGAAGCACCGGCUAACUCCGUGCCAGCAGCCGCGGUAAUACGGAGGGUGCAAGCGUUAAUCGGAAUUACUGGGCGUAAAGCGCACGCAGGCGGUCUGUCAAGUCGGAUGUGAAAUCCCCGGGCUCAACCUGGGAACUGCAUUCGAAACUGGCAGGCUUGAGUCUUGUAGAGGGGGGUAGAAUUCCAGGUGUAGCGGUGAAAUGCGUAGAGAUCUGGAGGAAUACCGGUGGCGAAGGCGGCCCCCUGGACAAAGACUGACGCUCAGGUGCGAAAGCGUGGGGAGCAAACAGGAUUAGAUACCCUGGUAGUCCACGCCGUAAACGAUGUCUACUUGGAGGUUGUGCCCUUGAGGCGUGGCUUCCGGAGCUAACGCGUUAAGUAGACCGCCUGGGGAGUACGGCCGCAAGGUUAAAACUCAAAUGAAUUGACGGGGGCCCGCACAAGCGGUGGAGCAUGUGGUUUAAUUCGAUGCAACGCGAAGAACCUUACCUGGUCUUGACAUCCACAGAAGAAUCCAGAGAUGGAUUGGUGCCUUCGGGAACUGUGAGACAGGUGCUGCAUGGCUGUCGUCAGCUCGUGUUGUGAAAUGUUGGGUUAAGUCCCGCAACGAGCGCAAC
rnacentral:rRNA from 4 species